UACGUAGGGGGCAAGCGUUGUCCGGAUUUAUUGGGCGUAAAGAGCGUGUAGGCGGCAAGCAGGUCCGCUGUGAAAACUCGAGGCUCAACCUCGAGAGGUCGGUGGAAACCGUUUGGCUAGAGUCCGGAAGAGGAGAGUGGAAUUCCCGGUGUAGCGGUGAAAUGCGCAGAUAUCGGGAAGAACACCCGUGGCGAAGGCGGCUCUCUGGGACGGUACUGACGCUGAGACGCGAAAGCGUGGGGAGCGAACAGG
rnacentral:rRNA from 1 species